UCCAACUUCUUAUCCUAAUGAAUGGCAUCUCCAUUUGCCCAAAGUGUCAGCCUACAUCUGAGUGUCAGCCUAAACUUUCCAUUUAUCUUGCUUCAAUAGUUCAUCAAUUACCAAGUUCUCUUUUUUUAAUUGAAAUGUUUAUUGAGAUAAUUAUAGAUUCACAGGCAUAGUUUUAAGAAGUAAUACAGUGGAUACAGUGAGCUCCUGGGUACAUUUUACUUAGUUGCUUCCAAUGGUAAUAAUUUGCAAAAUUAUAAUAUAAUACUACAACCAGGAUAUUGAUCGAUGUUGAAACAGUCCACGGAUCUUAUUGAUGUUCCCUCAGUUUUAUUUGUUCUCUCUCUCUCUCUCUCUCUGAGAGAGAGUAUUUAGGUCUAUAAAAUUUUAAUACGUGGGUUCAUGUAUCUACCACCACAGUAAAGGUAUCACUAAAUAGUUGCAUCAACACAGGUAUACUUUCCUCUCCAACCUGUCACCUUUUGUGCUGACAGCGUUAUUGCAGUUAUUUCUGACUCUAGACUUCCAGUCUCUCUAAUUUAACUUUUACAGUAUAUUUAUAAAGUGCAUAUCUAAUUUUGUAACUCCUCUAGAACUACCAUGUAAGCAGUUCCCUAAGUCUCUGACUGACUCUGCAUUUACACGCUGGAAAAAUUCUGUGUCUUACAAAAAUAUGAAGUUUGAACAAAAAGUUAUUAGUGGAGUGUGUUGAUCAUAUAAACAAGAAAUCAAAUAGCUUUUGCUGCCUACUCACUUAAGACAUUAUUUAGUGACAAUUAAUAGUCUUAUCUAUGGAUGUGAUGGUCCUCAUAGUCACUCAACUGCAAAGUUUAUAAUACACUAAUAGAAAAUAUAUGCUGACUUCAUUUUUAUAUUUAGAAAUACUAAAUCAAAGUGUCUACCAGAUCUUGCUUCUCAAAUUCAUAUCACUACAAUCAUAACCUGGCAACCAAAGUAAAAAGCCAAAGAGAUAUAGAUCUGCAAAAGUAAAAAACUACUCCUACUAAAGAUGAAUCUCUUGAAUAUACUGGUAUAAUUACCACUUUAUUUUGUAGACAGCUAUAGAUUGCUAUUAAUGAUUUAUGUAUUGCUAUCAUAGCAUAUCACAUUACAUCUGAGAGUAUGCUACUUUGCUUUCAAUAAUUUGUCUUAUGGUUUCUAAAAAUUUGUUGACUCUUUUCCAUUUUUCUUCUUUCAAGAUAAGUGUUCUCCUGAGAGUGAAGCAUGUAACUUACUAGAAAUUUAUCCAAACUACUUCCUACUCAACAUGAAUUUGUAGUCUUUCACACCAAGAGAGAUUUCUAAGUUACUGGAAUGGAUAUGCUAUCUCACUUGAUUUUCUUAUUCCAAUUAAAAUAGCAUAUAAUAGUGAUGCUUAUAUAUGCUAAUACUUACCUUUUUCUGUAAACAAUUAUUUGUUGCUCUUUUCAGAAUUUUUAUUCUCUCCUCUCACAUGAUAGUAUUAUUACUCUUAGUGGCUGUAAAUUAUGGCAACUAGAUAAUAUCUUAGAUAUUACUCAUGGGCCAGGUUUGGUGACUCAUGUCUGUAAUCCCAACACCUUGAGAGACCGAGCAGGUGGAUUGCUUGAGCCCAGGUGUUCAAGACCAGCCUGAGCAACAUAGCAAGAUCUGAUCUCUAAAAGAAAUUUUAAAAACUAGCCAAGCAUGGUGAUGCACACCUGUAGUACCAGCUACUCAGGAGGCUGAGGUGGGGGAAUCACCUGAGCCUAGGGAGUCAAUACUUCAGUGAGCUGUGGUCAUGUCACUGCAGUCCAGCAUGAGUGAGAGUAAAACCCUGUCUCAAAAGUAAAUAAAUAAAUAAAUAAACAUAACUUUUUAAAGUGAUACUAUUCAUUACAUUAGAUUUAGCCACAACAUGUACACAACAUACCUGUCUUUAAAAUUGAUACACAUUUCUAAUAAACACACAUGCAUCUGUAAAAGAGGCUGAUCUGUGAUAGCAUUAUGUGUCAACUUGGUAAGACUGUAGUACCAGUUAUUUAAUCAAACAUUGAUCUAGGUGUUGCUGUGAAGGUCUCUUGUAAAUGUGACUAACUCUAAAAUCAGCUGACUUUAAGAAUAUGUUUGAUAAUGUGGGGGGGCCUUGUCAAAUCAGUUCAAAACCUUAACAGCAAAUUCUAAAGUUUCCUGUAGAAGAAAGAAAAAUUCUGCUUCAAUAAUACAGCACUAACUGCUGCCCGAGUUUCCAGCCUGUAGGCCUCCCCUAGAGGCUACUUGCCAGUCUUCACAAUCCCAUCUACAGCUGUUCACUGGCAAAGGAGACCAACUCAUCUCUUUCCUGACAUCUGGCUCUUUCAUUUCACGUCUCUUUCAUACCCUCCCGCAACUAGCUGAAGGUGGAUUUUUUUUUUCUUUUUACUUCUUUAAUAUGGCAUUGGAAAUUAUGAGCACAAGUCCAGUUAAUAACUCUUGCACCCUGAUGACAAAUUUGGUCAUCUAUCUUCAGUUACAAGAAUACAAUUAUAGAUGGUGUUUAUACCUCAGCAACUUAAUCAAAAGGCUGCAGGGGUAGGAAGGGUGCCACUGAUAAGAAUGCGUUUCUUCAGUCAUCAUAUUGUGCCCAGCUACAAUCAGUCAGGAAAGAAUAUGCUAUGAAAGGCCAAGGCUGCAGCUGGUUAUAAGCAUAAGUAUCUUAUCACCUUUAUAGUUUCUGGGAUUUACACAGCUCUAAUAAUUCAGGUGAAUUAUAAGAAUAAAAGUUGUUGCUUACUUUUUACCCCUGGAGUCAAGUUUUGAAAAUAACAUGCAAUAUGAUGUUUUGAAAUAUCAUGGACUUUGAUUCGGGGAAUAUGCUGAAAAGAAUGAAAACAAUAUAAAAAUUUAUUAGAGAAAAUGGGUAGAAGUUAAAAGAAACUUUUUAAAAACCUUUCUCCAUUUUUAGUACUAUUAGUACUUAAAAUUUGCAAAGCAUUGUUUCGAGUGCUUUACCAGAUAUGUCAACAGAUUUUAUUCUCAGAGCAUUCCUACGUCAUUCAUUUCACCCUUGAGUAAACUGAAGCGCAGGGAUAUGAAACUGUUCAAGGCCAUACUCCUUAAGAAAGGCAGUGCUAGCACAUGUCAGAUGGGUUCCAUGGAGACUAUUAUAAAGAUAUGGCAACCCAAACUCUCCUACACGCAAAACGAUUAACUACUUAUGCACGGACAACACUUCCCUAAAAUAUGAUAGAUUUGAAAUUUUCAUUCACACCCAGUGUGAUUUUUGCUCUCUAAUGAAAAGGAAUGUCGUUGAUACAGAUCUGAUUUCAGUAUACAAUAAAUAUGCAAAAUAAAAACAUUACUCAAAACUAGGUUAUUUUAUUUGUUCCCAAAAGGAUCAUCAAGUAAUCUCAGUAAACUAUUAUUUACAUUCCGAUAUGUGAUUUCUAAUAUUCUGGGUUAUAGACUUUUAUUCACACCUGGUUUUGAAGCUAAAAGCAGUGUAACUAUAAAAUUUCUUUUCUGUUUGCUUGUUUUUGUAUAUUUUUCUGCACCACUGCUGGCAGGAAUACAAUUUUGAUAUUACAUAAUUUUGUUAACUGAUAACAGCAUUUCAUAAACUGACCUCCAUUAUUCAUUGGUCCCAGGAGACCCUCCACAAUGUAAGAGUACUUUAGUUAAAUAAACAUGGGAAAUUUUCUUUAUCUUACUGUUGGAAACUUACAACAUACCUUAACAUAUUAAAGACUCUGAAAUGCCUUGAAGAGGGGGGAAAUACCUGUUUGACAUUAUUUAACUCAGUGAUUUCCAAUGUAUGUAAAGACAGAUUCUAUAAUAAUAUCUUGAAGCUUUCUUAGAAGCAACAUUCUUCAAAUAUCCUUUGAGAAACGGUGGUCUAAAUUGGAAAGUCCAUCUUUGCAAAUAUUCCUCUCUCUCAUUCCAUUUGUUCCAGUUAGUUAAACGCAUUGUGGAAUUGUCUGUCUUUUGGCUUUCUUGCAAAUAAUAUAGCCAAAUAAUUUUCUGCAGUAAAGUAUUAUUAUUCCAUAGACACACUGUGACCACGCUCAUCAAACAUGGCAUAGCUAAAAGCACUAAUCAUUGAAAUCACCUGUGUAAACAUGACUUAGUUGCUUGCAACAGAAAAGUUUUGCCUGGGAAAAGUAAGAUUGCAAAAUAAUAAUAACUUUUCUUUCUGCUUUAGGCAGUUCCUGCAGAUCCAUUUAUUAAAGAUAGAAUCUGGCUCACCUGGGUAAAUAGUUGAGUUAUCAUAAGUAAUUCACUUAUUAAAAUUCUCUUAUUUAAAAUCUUUACUUUGCUAUAUCUCCCAAUCCUGGAUUGUUAUAUUAUAAACUUCCCAAUCAGUUGCCUGCCUUGAGAAUCUCAGUUUUAACCGCUCAAGUCCUGACUCUCCAACUGUAUAAAUAUCCAUUUUGACUUCCCAGUUCUGAGGCACUGUUAGUACUGUGUGGUGGUGAUGUUCUUUCUUACUACACUAAGUUUUAACUCAUUUAGCUUUGCUUUAUUAACAAGUUGUCUCUUAAUAUUUCACGAAGUUCAACCAAAUUCAAGUAUAAUUAUUAACUACUUAUAAAAUAACGAAGACCUUAUCAAAGAUGUGCACAUGUACAUCACCAAUUAUUCCAAAGAAUUCCCAGUUUUUCAUUCCACUUCAAAUCCCUUUAGUCUCCCAAAAAACACGAAAUACAUGUGUGUCUUAGAAAAUCAGUCAAUCAUGUUAGAAAAUUUACAUUUUGAUGAUUGAACACAUAUCUGUGCUAGUACCAGCGUAAACAGCACAGACUUUGGUAAACAGCAGAGACUCAGGUAAGCAGGCUAGACUUUACUAAACAGCAUAGGUCUUUUCAUGGAGUUUAGAGGUUGGUGAAAUGACAGGGUUUAGAGAGGGAAGUAAACAAAUGCACACACUAUGACAAAAUGUAUCAGUGCCAUG
rnacentral:lncRNA from 1 species